AGAAAAGAUGAAGAGCAAACAGAGUCUCUUGCCAAAUGUAUAGUUUGUGUUUUGAUGUUAUUUUAAUUUCUUUUGUUUUGCUAUCUUGCGCACAUUACAAACAAAUUGAUUCAAGCCAAAAAUUUUAAAACAAGCAAUAAGGUCG
rnacentral:ribozyme from 14 species